UACGGAAGGGGCAAGCGUUGUUCGGAAUCAUUGGGCGUAAAGGGCGCGUAGGUGGUUCUGUAUGUCUACCGUGAAAGCGUACGGCUCAACCGUAUUUAGUCGGUAGAAACUGCAGGACUUGAGGCUGGGAGGGGCUGGUGGAAUUCCCUGUGUAGCGGUGAAAUGCGUAGAGAUGGGGGAGAACACUCGUGGCGAAGGCGGCCAGCUAGACCAGUUCUGACACUGAGGCGCGCCAGCGUGGGGAGCAAACAGG
rnacentral:rRNA from 1 species